UACAGAGGGUGCGAGCGUUUAAUCGGAAUUACUGGGCGUAAAGCGUGCGUAGGCGGUCUGUUAAGACCGAUGUGAAAUCCCCCGGGCUUAACCUGGGAACUGCAUUGGUGACUGGCAGGCUUUGAGUGUGGCAGAGGGAGGUAGAAUUCCACGUGUAGCAGUGAAAUGCGUAGAGAUGUGGAGGAAUACCGAUGGCGAAGGCAGCCUCCCUGGGCCAACACUGACGCUCAUGCACGAAAGCGUGGGGAGCAAACAGG
rnacentral:rRNA from 1 species